rnacentral:tRNA from 1 species
GCCCCUGUAGCUCAACUGGCAGAGCAGCGGCCUUGUAAGUCGCAGGUUGCGGGUUCGAUUCCUGCCGGGGGCACCA